AUCACUUCCUGGCCUUUUAGCUAAGAUCAAGUGUAGUAUCUGUCUUCCAACAGCACUUUGUAGCAAUGAGCACAUUCUGCCUUGUAUUGUACUUAGAUAUCCAAUUUAUCUCCUUUACUAAAUUCAUUACAGAAUUUAGAAUAUGUUUUAUUGUUCCAUUCCUCCCUUUGAAAAUAUGGUCCCUC
ensembl:snRNA U2 U2 spliceosomal RNA